GGGGCUAGGGUAACGCGCUACCUGACCUAUCUGGCACUGCGGGUCGAGUAAUAGCUUAGGAAUCUUGCCUAUCACGUGGGGGGACAUACAUUCCCAAAGGAAUGCUAUUACCCCUAUACGCCCUACAGGGGAAAGCAGGGGAUCUUCUGACCUUGCGCUUAUCUAUGAGCCUAACACCAAUUAGCUAGGGGGUGGGGUAAAGGCCUACCAAGGCCACGAUCUGUAUCGGGUCUGACAGGAUGAUCCGCCACACUGUGACUGAGACACUGCCCAGACUCCUACUGGAGGCAUGCAGUGGGGAAUAUUGGACAAUGGGCGAAAGCCUGAUCCAACCAUGCCGUGUGUGUGAAGAAGGCCUUUCGUUUGUAAAGCACUUUAAGCGAUGAUGGAAGCUACUCAUGAUUGAUACUCUUGGAUACUGGACUUUACUCAGCAGAAUAAGUACCGGUAAACUAUGUGCCACCAGCUCCAGCUAAUACACAAGGGUGCGAAGCGGUAAU
rnacentral:rRNA from 1 species